UACGAGGGGGCAAGCGUUGUUCGGAAUUAUUGGGCGUAAAGGGCGCGUAGGCGGUGCGGUAAGUCACCUGUGAAAACUCUGGGCUCAACUCAGAGCCUGCAGGCGAAACUGCCGUGCUGGAGUGUGGGAGAGGUGCGUGGAAUUCCCGGUGUAGCGGAUGAAAUGCGUAGAUACUGGGAGGAACACCAGUGGGCGAAGGCGCUGACCGUGGACCGGUUCUGACGCUGAUGCGCGAAAGCGUGGGUAGCAAACAGG
rnacentral:rRNA from 1 species